rnacentral:rRNA from 1 species
GACAGCAGUCGCCGCGGGAAUACAGAGGGUGCGAGCGUUAAUCGGAUUUACUGGGCGUAAAGCGUGCGUAGGCGGCUUUUUAAGUCGGAUGUGAAAUCCCUGAGCUUAACUUAGGAAUUGCAUUCGAUACUGGGAAGCUAGAGUAUGGGAGAGGAUGGUAGAAUUCCAGGUGUAGCGGUGAAAUGCGUAGAGAUCUGGAGGAAUACCGAUGGCGAAGGCAGCCAUCUGGCCUAAUACUGACGCUGAGGUACGAAAGCAUGGGGAGCAAACAGGAUUAGAUACCCGUGUAGUCCCUGUCUCUUAUAC